GGCGUGUUGACCGAGUGGCCCAAGGUGUGCGACUAGAAAUCGCAUGGGUUCGCCCGCGUAGGUUCGAAUCCUGCACACGUCG
rnacentral:tRNA from 1 species